GGAGAUGUAGCUCAGUCGGUAGAGUGCUUGCCUGGCAUGCAUGAGAUCACAGGUUCGAUCCUUAGCACUG
rnacentral:tRNA from 1 species